UUCGACCACAUCACUUUGAAACAGCGGUUCCCGUAUGAUCACUGAAAUUCAGCAACGUUGAACCUGGUUAGUACCUAGACGGGUGACCGCUUAGGAAUGCCAGGUGAUGUAAG